rnacentral:miRNA from 1 species
GGAUGCCCUGUUAAUUUGAGUUUCAGAAAAAUGAUAAAUAAUUUUUAAUAUAAGUAUGGUUCAUGCAAUAUUUGGGACAUACUUAUACUUUAAAAAUUUCAUUUUUUAAUGUGAAAUUCAAAUUUAAUUGAGAACUC